rnacentral:tRNA from 1 species
UAUACUUCAGUGGUAGAGCACUUGCCUGGCAUGCAUGAGACCCUGGGUUCAGUUCCCAGUA